rnacentral:rRNA from 1 species
UACGUAGGGUGCGAGCGUUGUCCGGAAUUAUUGGGCGUAAAGCGCGCGCAGGCGGUUCAUUAAGUCUGGUGUUUAAGGCUAGGGCUCAACCCUGGUUCGCACUGGAAACUGUUGGACUUGAGUGCAGAAGAGGAAAGUGGAAUUCCACGUGUAGCGGUGAAAUGCGUAGAGAUGUGGAGGAACACCAGUGGCGAAGGCGGCUUCCUGGACCAAUACUGACGAUCAGGUGCGAAAGCGUGGGGAGCAAACAGG